UACGGCCUGACUGCGCAGGCGUGCUCACCUGGCUCGCUCCACGCGGCGGGGCGUCCGCAGGCUCCUCCCUUGGGCGUGGCCUCCGGGCUGCUGGGCUGCUUCCCAGGUGAAGCCGGCUCCUGCUUGGGGGGUCAAGUUGAUCGUUCCGCAUCCGCCAGGGCCGACGCAAAGCCGGUCUGGGGAAGCCGCGGCGGGGCUGGCGUCCGGACCUUGAGGUGAACUUGAGGGCGCCUCCUCAGCUAUCUCCCGCCCUGCUCUGAGGGGCACCGAGACCCCGAAGAGAAGAGCGGAAGAAGAGCGCCACCCCGACUGCCACUGCUUCGGGGCCAGCACGCGGGGUCCCCUGCAGGAAGCUGGGACGGCUCCAGCCCUCCUGGGCCCUCCCUUCGGGACUGAGACUGUCCCGUCUAGAGGGCUUGAGGACCCGCGCGACCGUCUGGGUCCCCUGUCAGGAAUCCCCUGUGAAGCCUCCUAGCCGCCGUUUCUGAGAAGUUCCUCAUACCUGUUAUACCUGUGCUUUCAUGCCUUUGCAUAAGUGAGAUUCCUUAUCACUGAAGGCUGCUCACCCCAGAAGACUUCACUCCAAAAAUCACUCCUGCCUGGUAUGCUGUCUGCUUAUUCAUCCCUCAGGUUUCAGCUUCAAGGCGGCUUUCUCAAAGAGGCUUUUCCUGAAGCCCCAAAUGUAA